rnacentral:rRNA from 1 species
GUGAGGAAUAUUGCGCAAUGGAGGCAACUCUGACGCAGCCAUGCCGCGUGCAGGAAGAAGGCGCUUCGCGUUGUAAACUGCUUUUAACCGGGAAGAAACCCCAGGACGUGUCCUGGGUUGACGGUACCGGAGGAAUAAGCACCGGCUAACUUCGUGCCAGCAGCCGCGGUAAUACGAAGGGUGCAAGCGUUAUCCGGAUUCAUUGGGUUUAAAGGGUGCGUAGGCGGAGCGUUAAGUCAGUGGUGAAAUCCUGCAGCUUAACUGUAGACUUGCCAUUGAUACUGGCGCUCUUGAGUGCGCUUGAAGUGGGCGGAAUGUGCCGUGUAGCGGUGAAAUGCUUAGAUAUGGCACAGAACACCAAUUGCGAAGGCAGCUCACUAAGGCGAUACUGACGCUGAGGCACGAAAGCGUGGGGAUCGAACAGGAUUAGAAACCCCUGGUAGUCC